rnacentral:rRNA from 1 species
GCUAACUACGUGCCAGCAGCCGCGGUAAUACGUAGGUGGCAAGCGUUAUCCGGAAUUAUUGGGCGUAAAGCGCGCGUAGGCGGUUUUUUAAGUCUGAUGUGAAAGCCCACGGCUCAACCGUGGAGGGUCAUUGGAAACUGGAAAACUUGAGUGCAGAAGAGGAAAGUGGAAUUCCAUGUGUAGCGGUGAAAUGCGCAGAGAUAUGGAGGAACACCAGUGGCGAAGGCGACUUUCUGGUCUGUAACUGACGCUGAUGUGCGAAAGCGUGGGGAUCAAACAGGAUUAGAUACCCUGGUAGUCCACGCCGUAAACGAUGAGUGCUAAGUGUUAGGGGGUUUCCGCCCCUUAGUGCUGCAGCUAACGCAUUAAGCACUCCGCCUGGGGAGUACGACCGCAAGGUUGAAACUCAAAGGAAUUGACGGGGA